UACAUCAACAUUGAAAAUGCAUUGUUGUGUUCCUUUUUGUAGAAAUAGUACCGAAAAUGUCUCUAAAACAGAUGGAAUCAGUUUCCAUGCUUUCCCGGACGAGGACUCUGGUCCCCUGCGAGCCCAGUGGUUACGCAGCCUGGGAAUGCAAGGUCAAGUGCCGGCUAGUGCGGCAGUCUGCUCCCAGCACUUCCUGCACGAGGACAUGCGAGACGCGCGCGGUGAAAGGUGUCUCCGCGCCGGUGCUGUGCCUACUGCAGUACAGGUUUGCCUGAUAUGCCUGGACACUGAUAGCCCAAUGAUUUCAAUGAGUAAAUACAACUUGGGAGAAGCAUAUGUACACUUAACUGGUUAUUCUGUAAGUUCUUCAUCAGUUAUACGGUUGUGUAAUGAAGGAAACCUGAGGCAUAUACUUUGUAUGGAAUGUGCUCAGAGAUUGACACACAUUAGUAAAUUCAGAGAAAAGAGCUUAAGAGCUCGUACCCUGCUGAUGGACUUAAUUGAGAAAUAUCAAAUGAUAACGCCACUGGACACUGCGCACUUGCGUUCGCAGAGAACGCUGGAUUCCAGCCAAGCCUGUUGCACGCUAGGUUCAGACCCAUGUGACCUGCACAUGCUUGAUGGUACGAGUACAUAUGCGCAGACAGACCUUCAGUUAGGCAGCUGCUUAGGUCUAGACAUGCCGCAGGCCCGGGAAAGUGCAGAUGGGGAUAGCGUAGACAUUAUCCGCCAAAUAGCUUUGCUGGAUAAGGCUCAAUUCAUCAGGCAACUUCAUCAGCACCACUCUGUACUGAGAUGCUGGGUGAAACUGACUAGAAUAUCACUUUUGGAAGACAUUGGAUCUUGUAAGACUCGCGCGAUGUCGUCCUCUGGUGAGACGUCUCUAGUCAGUGAGGACAAGACAGUUCCAGCUUCCAUGUGGUCUUUCAUGGAUCGAAUGAGCCGCACGAUGAAUUCUUGAGGAAUUCGAGCCUAUUCGGCGAUGACAGCAUCUUGAAGGUCUUGGGGGGUCGUUGGGGCUGAAUCGCGUGACCGUACUCGACGUUUUAACUCGUCCCAGAGGUGCUCUAUCGGAUUGAGAUCUGGACUUCUGGGUGGCCACUGCAUAACUGGAAUCCCAACCUCUUAAUAUGCCUUGCAACCGAGUCUUGCGUCGGAUUAUGCAGCAAAGAGUUACU